ensembl:lncRNA
UCAACAAAUGAUAAAAGUGAAAUGUUGGUUCAUCCAAAUUACACAAAAAAAGACUAAUGACUGAAUGCCUGAUGAAUGAAAGGUUAUUUGCUUACAGAAAUAAACUCCCUCCAUCCGAUUUCUGCUGCUUAUCUGUUGACGGGUUGCGGGGACAGCAGUCUGAGCUGGGAAGUCCAGAUUUCCUCCACUCCCACCACCUCCUUCAGCUCAUCAUUGAGGGUGGGGGUGCACACAUGCCGAGGUGUUCCCAAGCAACAACAAGUAACCUACAACCUAAAAUUUUAUUGCAUCCAAAAAUAGUUUCUGUGCAAAUGGUCCAGAGUGAGGCUUGUGGAUUAUUCAGAUUUACAGAGGUCCUGAUUUGGGGGAAAGACUGGGAGGAGUCUAGAUACAUGGCUUAAGGUUGUCUGUUGAUUUGUCUGACAUCACUUUGGUCCAGACUUGAUCGUAAAAAAAUAUUGACAGCUAUUAGAUGACUUUCUAUUUUAAAAAUUAAAAAAAAAAAAUACAUUUAAUAAAAGAAUGAAAAGGUGGAUGUGAGUGAGCAGACUUCAGGUUAAUGAUGAAAUACUUGCAAAUUAAUGGCAAAAAUUGACUAAACCGAGAUAGUAAGGAAGGCAAAUAUCAGCAAAAAACAAAUAUUUGCAUUUUUAUUUACUUAUAUGAAUUGCAACUAUCUACUUACACCAAAUACAAACACAAACCUUGUGCUGAAAACAUAGUGCUUAAAUAUUUAGUAGCAUGAGUUUGUAUGUAUCUUUUUUAAAAAAAAUCAAAUUUCAUUAAACUUUCAUAUCUACAAACAAACAUAUCUACUCCAAGAUGGUUAUAAACGAAAACAAUAUAGGUACAGCGAAUUCCACAUUGUUUACACCACACUCAUGCCCCUGUGCUUUUUAAUAAAGCAACAAUUAUACCAUUUUAAUUUAUUCUGCGAUAUUUUAAAUGUCGGUUUCUUAUCUAUCUUAAGUUGAUCACCUGAUUACCGCUACAUGGAUGCUGCACUAGGCCAUAAAACCUUGAUUGGUAUGUGCAGGCUGUUUUCGUUGUGUUGGUGCACCUGCAAGGAGAAGAUAAGGGCACUGAUGAUAACAACCUGUCUG